UACAGAGGUCUCAAGCGUUGUUCGGAUUCAUUGGGCGUAAAGGGUGCGUAGGCGGCGCGGUAAGUCGGGUGUGAAAUUUCGAGGCUUAACUUCGAAACUGCAUUCGAUACUGCCGUGCUAGAGGACUGGAGAGGAGAGUGGAAUUCCUGGUGUAGCGGUGAAAUGCGCAGAUAUCAGGAAGAACACCCGUGGCGAAGGCGGCUCUCUGGGACGGUACUGACGCUGAGACGCGAAAGCGUGGGGAGCGAACAGG
rnacentral:rRNA from 1 species